rnacentral:rRNA from 1 species
AUUGAACGCUGGCGGCAUGCUUUACACAUGCAAGUCGAGCGGGGUGAGGGGGCAACUCCUCAUUCAGCGGCGGACGGGUGAGUAAUGCAUCGGAACGUAUCCUGUAGUGGGGGACAACCCAGCGAAAGCUGGGCUAAUACCGCAUAUGCUCGGGAGAGGAAAGUGGGGGACCUGCAAGGGCCUCACGCUAUAGGAGCGGCCGAUGUCCGAUUAGCAGUUGGUGGGUAAAGGCCUACCAAGGCGACGAUCGGUAGCUGGUCUGAGAGGAUGAUCAGCCACACUGGGACUGAGACACGGCCCAGACUCCUACGGGAGGCAGCAGUGGGAAUUUUGGACAAUGGGGCAACCCUGAUCCAGCCAUGCCGCGU